rnacentral:rRNA from 1 species
AGAGUUUGAUCCUGGCUCAGGAUGAACGCUAGCGGGAGGCUUAACACAUGCAAGUCGAGGGGCAUCACGAGGUAGCAAUACUUUGGUGGCGACCGGCGCACGGGUGAGUAACACGUAUGCAACCUACCCUGUACAGGGGGAUAACCCGGAGAAAUUCGGACUAAUAUUCCAUAAUGAUAUUUUAGGGCAUCCUUUAAUAUUUAAAGCUUUGGCGGUACAGGAUGGGCAUGCGCAACAUUAGCUAGUUGGGAGGGUAACGGCCUACCAAGGCUAUGAUGUUUAGGGGACCUGAGAGGGUGAUCCCCCACACUGGUACUGAGACACGGACCAGACUCCUACGGGAGGCAGCAGUGAGGAAUAUUGGUCAAUGGGCGGAAGCCUGAACCAGCCAUCCCGCGUGCAGGAAGACAGCCCUAUGGGUUGUAAACUGCUUUUCCAGCGGGCGAACCCCUCGUACGUGUACGGGAUUGACGGUACACUGGGAAUAAGCAUCGGCUAACUCCGUGCCAGCAGCCGCGGUAAUACGGAGGAUGCGAGCGUUAUCCGGAUUUAUUGGGUUUAAAGGGUGCGUAGGCGGAUGAAUAAGUCAGUGGUGAAAGGCUGCAGCUUAACUGUAGACUUGCCGUUGAUACUGUUUAUCUUGAGUGUGGUCAAGGCAGGCGGAAUGUGUAAUGUAGCGGUGAAAUGCUUAGAUAUUACACAGAACACCGAUUGCGAGGGCAGCUUGCUGGGCCAUUACUGACGCUGAUGCACGAAAGCGUGGGGAGCGAACAGGAUUAGAUACCCUGGUAGUCCACGCCGUAAACUAUGAUCACUAGCUGUUGGCGAUACACAGUCAGCGGCAAAGCAAAAGCAUUAAGUGAUCCACCUGGGGAGUACGGCCGCAAGGCUGAAACUCAAAGGAAUUGACGG